rnacentral:rRNA from 1 species
GAUAACGAACGAGACCUUAACCUGCUAAAUAGUUAGGCCAACGUUUGUUGGUCGUCAACUUCUUAGAGGGACUAUUGACUAUUAGUCAAUGGAAGUUUGAGGCAAUAACAGGUCUGUGAUGCCCUUAGAUGUUCUAGGCCGCACGCGCGCUACACUGAUCAAGUCAACGAGUUUACAACCUUGGCCGGAAGGUCUGGGUAAUCUUUUGAAACUUGAUCGUGCUGGGGAUAGUCCAUUGCAAUUAUUGGGCUUCAACGAGGAAUUCCUAGUAAGCGUGAGUCAUCAGCUCGCGUUGAUUACGUCCCUGCCCUUUGUUCACACCGCCCGUCGCUACUACCGAUUGAAUGG